GGGCCGGGGAUGGAAUAUACAAAAAAAAACACAAAGGAAAAGUGGCCGGAGCGUGCCGGGGGCAAAAUGCUGGAAGUUUCGGCUGGAUUAACCGGAGGCGAAGCGUGCUCUGGAAGUCCACUGCCUGACAUUGUUCCGGAGCGGGGAUCCGUCCCUCUCGUUCCCGGAGGAGCUGCCCUUCAGCUGCAGACACUUGGAUCCUGCACGAAAACCCAAGAGUGGCCGGCGCGGAGCGAGCAGGAGAACGGAGACCGCACAAAGACCAAACUAACCCGAGCCUCCUCCUCCUUCCCCGGCUAUUUGCACAUCUACUGAAGACUUUAUAAAAAUAAUAAUAACAAGCCAGCGAGCGACCCGCUCCGCCAGCCCUUGGAAGAUUUUUGGGGGGGGGGGGGGGGGUGUCGGCUCCGUGCCGCUGAGCCCCGCGACCCCUUUUUCCCUGCCUAAAUUUCCCCCUGCAGGAACGACCCCCCCCAGCCCCCGAAAUGAAAUAAAACCAAUAAACCUG